GUUUGUUGGUUAAAAGAUUUAAACUGAAAAAUACAAUGUGGUCAAAAUAUUUAUGCAAAUAUUUUUUUUUAUUAACAGUGACCAAAGAAAAUGAUUGAAACUUGAAACUAACAAUAAAGUUAAGAAAGUAUGAAAAAUCUCUAGAGCAACAAAUAUUAUGAAAAAAAGGCUUGACCCUUGUCUGUGAUUACUAUACAAGUAAAACCUCAUUGCUUUCUCUCUCUCUCUCUCCUUUCACUGGUUAUCUUCAUCGUUCUUCAGGUUAUCCUUUGGACUUUUCCUAAAGAGCCUGGCUUCACAACUGACCAGAUUCAGAUAAACGGAUUCUUGUAUACACUUGGAUGGUCAAUUUAUGGGCACAGAUUCUAUUCAUUGAUCAUUCAAGCAACAAUUUUGAUGACCAAAAUAAACCCUUUCUCUUUUUUAUAUAAUACUCAUAAUUCGUUGAGUCCUUUUCAUUGGAUUGGAAAAACAAAAUUCAUUGACAAAAGAGCCUUUUCAAUGCAUGUUGGAAAACAGACCAUUUAAACAAUUUUGUAUUUCGGUCAAAGGUAAAGGCCUAAUAUUUUAACCAAGAACACUUUGGAACGCAAGAGAAAAGGUAAAGAAAGAGUAAAGCUGGAUAGGUGAAAUGUUGACCCACAAAGCAAAAAGAAAAACAAAUGACCAACAAAAAUUUUCCCAGAGAUACUUUUACCUUCACUCACCUUGAGUAAACAAUCUUGAACAAUAUUUUCCUUACCAUUUCACCCUCAUUUAUCUUCAUCAUUAUCAUCAUCAUUAUUAUCGUCAUCAUCAUCAUCAUCUUUAGUCAAGUUUCCAGUUUACCUUUUCAACAUUGAUUAAGAACAAAGAAAAUGCUGUGCAAGGGAAAUGUUAAAGCCUUUCAACAAUCAAUUGGAAGCAAAAAGAGAAACCUUUAGCUAUUGGGUAAACAUUGGUCACCUUUUCAUCGUCUUCCUUAUAUUUUGACCAUCAGGUUAUUUAAUUCACACUGUGUGACCUUCAAAUAUCUCAAACACCUUAUCAACAAUGAACCAUCUUUAACAUGGUUAUCUUUAUUUAUUUUGUUUCCCUUGAUUAUCAUCAAUGAUUACCUUUCAACAGCCUGUAUUUCAACGUAUUUGCUUAGCUGGUAAUAACAACUAAAUACAUUUUCA